rnacentral:rRNA from 1 species
GACGAACGCUGGCGGCGUGCUUAACACAUGCAAGUCGAACGAAGAAACUCGAGCUUGCUGGAUCGGAUCAGUGGCGAACGGGUGUGUACCACGUGAGCAACCUCCCCCUGACUCUGUGAUAAACGCUGGAAACGCCGUCUCUUACUGGAUACGAUAUGUGUCCGCAUGGGCACUUUCUGUAAAGUUCUUCGGUUGGGGAUCGGCUCGCUGCCUAUCAGCUUCUUUGUGAGGUAAUGGCUCACGAAGGCGACGAGGGGUAGCCGGCCUGAGAGCGCGACCGGCCACAAUGGGACUGCGACACGGCCCAGACUCCAACGGGACGCAGCGGUGGAGAAUCUUGCGGAAUGGGGGAAAGCCUGUUGUGGCGACGCCGCGUGCGGGAUGACGUGCUUCGAGUUGUAAACCAAUGUCUGAAGAGCAGAAGCGAACUUGACGGUACCUGCAGAAGAAGCCCCGGCUAACUACGUG